UUUUCCUACGGGGCGCAGCAGUGAGGAAUAUUGGUCAAUGGGCGGGAGCCUGAACCAGCCAAGUCGCGUGAAGGAAGAAGGUACUUAGUAUUGUAAACUUCUUUUGUCGGGGAACAAAGGCGGAGACGCGUCUCCGGAUGAGUGUACCCGAAGAAAAAGCAUCGGCUAACUCCGUGCCAGCAGCCGCGGUAAUACGGAGGAUGCGAGCGUUAUCCGGAUUUAUUGGGUUUAAAGGGUGCGCAGGCGGAUUUUUAAGUCAGCGGUCAAAUCGUGGGGCUCAACCCCAUCCAGCCGUUGAAACUGGG
rnacentral:rRNA from 1 species